rnacentral:misc_RNA from 1 species
GAGCGACGAUACUUCUUUCGUCUACAAUCGAGCAUUCACGCUGUAAAAUCGCUACAGCGCAAUGGAGGCGAAGUUCCUCAAGCUGCGCCAGGAGCGCGAGGAGCAGCGGCGACAGCGCUCGAAGGAAACUGGGGCCAUCACGCUGCAGCGCCAGCAGUACGAGGCGGAGGCCGAGCUGCUGGAAGCGGAGGUCACGCAGCUCCUUCAGGAGGGCAACGUGACAGAGUCGCAGCAGCGCAUCGACGCACUACGGACACUGGUGCAGGACACGUCAAAUAGCAUCUCUCUUACCGCGCACGAGAUGGCGAAGGCAAACGUGAUUCUCGCUCGUCUGCAGCAACGCGUGGAUGAAAAGCACAGCAGCGCAGCGCCAAAGAAGUUCAAGUUCUCCUCACGCCUCAAGGCGAAGCCGACGUCCGAUGCCGAGCCCGCCACUCCCUCAUUGUCCCUGACGGGUAUAUCCGAUACGAACGAAGCGACUGCGACGGCUACCGUGCCGGUUGCAGGGACUGUUAGCAGCACCAACGGCUUUGGCAAUGUCUACGGGCCGUCCACGGGCACGGACCUCUUCAUCAGUCAUUCGAGGGGCGUCUUCAUCAACGGCUGCGCGGAGUGUGUCAUCUACUGCCUUCCUAUUGCCGGGUCCGCCUUUCUAUCAAACUGCACAAAUUGCCGUGUAUACGUGGCGUGUCAUCAGCUGCGACUGAAGGGCUGCACAAAUCUCGAUCUCUACGCGUGGUGCGCGUCUACUCCGAUCAUUGAAGAAUGUGAUGCAAUGCGUUUCGGGCCGUAUCGGUGCUGGGUGGGCCUGCUGAGCUCGUGCACGGAGGAUGGAAAGACGUACGCCACCCAUGCAGAGUGGGUUUCUAGGGUCGGCGAAAUCGAAGAUACAGCGCGGACGGAGCAGAACUACGUCAAGGUGGACGACUUUCAGUGGGUGAAGAAGAGCGCGAGUCCUCACUGGCGUGUGCUCGCCAGAGAGGAAGAAAAGGCGAGCACCACCGUUUUCGGGCCCGCAACCCUGCCUUCAUCCUCGACCGCCCACUCCACAGAUGCCGCAGACCAUUGAGUCGUGGAGCAGCGGUCAAGCACGCACGCACACACACGGCUACAUACACUGUAAUGGUGCACUCGUUUUUUUUUUGCAUAUUGUUCUUGCUCCUCUCGUGUCCGGUGCGGACAGGAUUCCGUGCACUGUGAGUGAGGUAGAGCGAGGGGGUCUAUCGAACCUUUGCCUCCCGUGUAUCAUCCCACGGUGUGUGUGUAUGUGCAUUUGGUGGGGGUGAUCAGAGGAAGAAGUGGGAGGCACAGAGGUCUUGAACGCCGCUGCAUUGAAAGACGAGGAAACCUCCGUGUAUGACGGAGGUUUUUCGUUGAUGUUGAGAGCACUUUGUUUGUUUCGCGUGACAAGCUUCGGACCCCGCACGUCACCGGUGGGACCUCUUUAAAGAGGAAGGUCGUCCGUCACGUAUGCUCGAACGCCAUCGAGGCACAGCUCU